rnacentral:rRNA from 1 species
GACGAACGCUGGCGGCGUGCUUAACACAUGCAAGUCGAACGGAAAGGCCCUGCUUUUGUGGGGUGCUCGAGUGGCGAACGGGUGAGUAACACGUGAGUAACCUGCCCUUGACUUUGGGAUAACUUCAGGAAACUGGGGCUAAUACCGGAUAGGAGCUCCUGCUGCAUGGUGGGGGUUGGAAAGUUUCGGCGGUUGGGGAUGGACUCGCGGGUUAUCAGCUUGUUGGUGGGGUAGUGGCUUACCAAGGCUUUGACGGGUAGCCGACCUGGGAGGGUGACCGGAAACAUUGGGACUGAGAUACGGCCCAGACUCAUACGGGAGGGAGCAGAGGAGAAUAGUGCAAAAUGGGAGGAAGGCAGAUGCAGCAACGCGGCGUGCGGGAAGACGGCCAUCGGGUUGUAAACCGAAGUCGCCUGUGACGAAGAGUGAGUGACGGUAAUGGGUAAAGAAGCACCGGCUAACUACGUG